GCUCGAUAUCUUGAUUCCAGGAAUGAU
rnacentral:sRNA from 1 species